rnacentral:lncRNA from 1 species
CUCGUACACAGGAGACACAGCUUCUGAGUGUUCUCUAUACUUCUUAGGUUCAGUCAGAGUCCAGCCUUUUGCUGUUUUUUGGACAAAUAUAGGAAGUAAGCCUGCCAAGCAAAGAGCGUGUGUUUGUAAACCCUAGAAUCUGGGCAGCAGGAUGUUUCUGGGAAUGAAACAUCCUGCAGUCACAGGUUGAAAUGAAGUAUAGCUACAUUUCUCAUUAAACUGCUUUGAUCUUUGAUCUGUUUGUUUUCCUGUGACUGCCAAAGAGAACGGUUAAUUUUCUGUGUCAAUUACAAAGUUGCGGGUCGACCAGAUAGCUGACAAUGGGUUAUUUCUGGCUGGAUCUGUGAAAAUGACUCCAGAGAAAUGAGAGUUUGAAUGAGUAGACCGUGUAAAGAAGUCUUAACAUCACUAAUAAGGGUUCUCAUCAUUAAAUCCACUGAAGACCAAGGAGAAGAGUGGGAGAAAAUGUGAACUUCUCUCUUGAACUGCUCUCUUCAUCCUACUCUGCCAACAUAUAUUGGGGUCAAUAAUGAAAUGAAUCAUUACAUCAGUGCUCUGGAUAUCCGGUUUACAGAAGUGAUUUAUCAGACCUCUUGGAAUGUCACUUCUGCAUGGGCAGUGCUGGUCAGAGUAGUGGUGAUGUUAUCUGCAUCUGGCUAUUUACCCAAGAACCUGCUGCAAGGAUGAGACACGGGAGUGAUGGAAUUGGGAUGGGCAGGGAUCAAAGUGCAUUGAUGAAGAAAGAACUUAGACCACAUGUAUUUCACUGGCUUUGAAAUAUUUUUUUAAAGAAAAAAAGUCUGAUUUUUU